GACGAACGCUGGCGGCGUGCCUAAUACAUGCAAGUAGAACGCUGAAGGAGGAGCUUGCUUCUCUGGAUGAGUUGCGAACGGGUGAGUAACGCGUAGGUAACCUGCCUGGUAGUGGGGGAUAACUAUUGGAAACGAUAGCUAAUACCGCAUAAUAGCAGUUGUUGCAUGAUAACUGUUUGAAAGGUGCAAUUGCACCGCUACCAGAUGGACCUGCGGUGUAUUAGCUAGUUGGUGGGGUAACGGCUCACCAAGGCGACGAUACAGAGCAGACCUGAGAGGGGGGUCGGCCGGACUGGGAGGGAGACACGGCACAGAGUGCUACGGGAGGGAGCAGUAGGGAAACGUGGGGAAGCGGCGGAAGUCAGACCGAGAAGGGCGGAGGGAGUGAAGAAGGUUGUCGGAUCGUGAAGCACGGUUGUAAGAGAAGAACGAGUGUGAGCGUGGAAAGUUGACACUGUGACGGUAUCUUACAAGAAAGGGACGGCUAACUACGUG
rnacentral:rRNA from 1 species